rnacentral:tmRNA from 1 species
AAGCAGACUGCGUGUCGAGCUUUCUGGUACGCUCGUAAAUCUCGCCAGAAAAAGACAAAUGCAAACGAUUACGCAUUCGCGAUGGCCGCUUAAGUCUAUAAGACAUUAAGCCUUGCUAUCUGUCCUCCAGCUUGCCCGUCUAUCGGCAGCUGAUUUGGGCAUCAAACCUGAUAGAAUAGGAUGCACCAUGCCGGCUGAAUAAGUGUAUCUAAAGCUCGAUCAGCCUUUAAGCGGUUCUGGCCCAAGACGACUGGCCACGGAAACGCUCGAGAAUUCAGUAAGUCGACUACACACGUAGACGUUUGACUGGACAACUAUUCGGACCUGGGUUCGACUCCCAGCAUCUCCACCA